GACGAACCGAGCGAACGUUGUUCGGAAUCACUGGGCUUAAAGGGCGCGUAGGCGGACCGCCAAGUCCGAGGUGAAAUCCUCCAGCUCAACUGGAGAACUGCCUCGGAUACUGGAGGUCUCGAGGGAGGUAGGGGCAAGCGGAACUGUGGGUGGAGCGGUGAAAUGCGUUGAUAUCCACAGGAACUCCGGUGGCGAAGGCGGCUUGCUGGACCUUUUCUGACGCUGAGGCGCAAAAGCCAGGGGAGCAAACGGG
rnacentral:rRNA from 1 species